GCUAAAAACCUAGCCCCCACUAACCCUAUGAGCCCCUCAAACUACUCUUACUAACCAAAACAUUUUUUAAUCUUAGUAAAGGCGAUUAAAAAGUUAUCAGGCGCUAUAUGAAAAGUACCGCAAGGGAAAGAUGAAAUAAAAAUGAAAUAAAUCUCAAGCACAAAAAAGUAGAGAUUACACCUCGUACCUUUUGCAUCAUGGUUUAACUAGUCAAAUUAAGCAAAAUGACUUGCAGUUUAACCUCCCGAAACUAAGCGAGCUACUUCAAGGCAGCUUACUGAGCGAACCCGUCUCUGUUGCAAAAGAGUGGGAAGACCUUUAAGUAGGGGUGACAGACCUAACGAGCUUAGUGAUAGCUGGUUUCUCAAGAAAAGGAUUUUAGUCCAACCUAAAGUUUUAUUAAUAUUGUAAAAUGCCAUAAUCACUUUAGAGCAAUUCAAAUAAGGUACAGCCUAUUUGAAACAGGAUACAACCUACACAAAAGGGUAAUUAUUUUUUUAAUUAAUUAAGUAGGCCUAAAAGCAGCCACCUUCUAGAUAGCGUCAAAGCUUCAUUAUUUUUUUUUCUUUAAUACCACAAAUUAUUUAGAACCCUUCAUCAUUAUUGAGAACUUCUAUAUCCCUAUAGAAUAUUUUAUGUUAAAACUAGUAACAAGAAGUAGCACUUCACUUAAAUGUAAGUGUAAAUCAGAAAGGACUCACCACUGACUAUUAACAUUUAUGAAAAUACAUUAGCAACUCCACAAGAAAAACCUAAUUGUAACCAUGUUAACCUAACACCAGAGCAUUUCAAGUAAGAUUAAAAGAAAAAGAAGGAACUCGGCAAAUAUUAACCUCGCCUGUUUACCAAAAACAUCGCCUCUUGAUUAAAUAUAAGAGGUCCAGCCUGCCCAGUGACUCUGUUCAACGGCCGCGGUAUCCUAACCGUGCGAAGGUAGCGUAAUCACUUGUUCUUUAAAUGAGGACUAGUAUGAACGGCACCACGAAGGUUAUACUGUCUCCUUUUUCUAAUCAGUGAAACUAAUCUCCCCGUGAAGAAGCGGGGAUAAGAAUAUAAGACGAGAAGACCCUAUGGAGCUUUAAACUAAGUAACACCUGCUUUUAAACAUUUUUAACUUCCGAGUACUCAACAAUAAUUUUAGCCUGCUGAUUACUAGUUUUAGGUUGGGGUGACCGCGGAGCAUAAAACAACCUCCGCGUUAAACGGGGACCCCCCUGAGCGAUGAGCUACAACUCUAUGCACCAAUAUAUUGAUUUUCAUUGACCCAAUAUUUUUGAUCAACGAACCAAGUUACCCUAGGGAUAACAGCGCAAUCCGCUUCAAGAGCCCCCAUCGACAAGCGGGUUUACGACCUCGAUGUUGGAUCAGGGUACCCCAGUGGUGCAGCCGCUACUAAAGGUUCGUUUGUUCAACGAUUAAAACCCUACGUGAUCUG
rnacentral:rRNA from 1 species